GGGCCUGUAGCUCAGUCGGUUAGAGCACU
rnacentral:tRNA from 1 species